UACGUAGGUGGCGAGCGUUGUCCGGAAUCACUGGGCGUAAAGGGCGCGCAGGCGGUUGGAUAAGUUACAUGUGAAAUACCAGGGCUUAACCUUGGGGGGUCAUGUAAAACUGUCUGACUUGAGUGCAGUAGAGGUAAGCGGAAUUCCUGGUGUAGCGGUAAAAUGCGUAGAGAUCAGGAGGAACACCGGUGGCGAAGGCGGCUUACUGGGCUGCAACUGACGCUGAGGCGCGAAAGCGUGGGGAGCAAACAGG
rnacentral:rRNA from 1 species